UCCCAAAUUGAUUUUAUGCUUGCAUAAAUGAUUUUUGGAUUCGGAGCGAGUGGCGAACUGGUGAGUAACACGUGGGUAACCUGCCCCGAAGCGGGGGAUAACAUUUGGAAACAAGUGCUAAUACCGCAUAAUUAGUUGGAACCGCAUGGUUCCAACUUGAAAGAUGGCUCUGCUAUCACUUUGGGAUGGACCCGCGCCGUAUUAGUUAGUUGGUGAGAUAAAAGCCCACCAAGACGAUGAUACGUAGCCGACCUGAGAGGGUAAUCGGCCACAUUGGGACUGAGACACGGCCCAGACUCCUACGGGAGGCAGCAGUAGGGAAUCUUCCACAAUGGACGAAAGUCUGAUGGAGCAACGCCGCGUGAGUGAUGAAGGUUUUCGGAUCGUAAAACUCUGUUGUUAAAGAAGAACAAGUGUUAGAGUAACUGUUAACACUUUGACGGUAUUUAACCAGAAAGCCACGGCUAACUACGUGCCAGCAGCCGCGGUAAUACGUAGGUGGCAAGCGUUGUCCGGAUUUAUUGGGCGUAAAGCGAGCGCAGGCGGUUUUGUAAGUCUGCUGUGAAAGCCCUCAGCUCAACUGAGGAAGUGCAGUGGAAACUACAAAACUUGAGUACAGAAGAGGAAAGUGGAACUCCAUGUGUAGCGGUGAAAUGCGUAGAUAUAUGGAAGAACACCAGUGGCGAAGGCGGCUUUCUGGUCUGUUACUGACGCUGAGGCUCGAAAGCAUGGGUAGCGAACAGGAUUAGAUACCCUGGUAGUCCAUGCCGUAAACGAUGAAUACUAGGUGUUGGAGGGUUUCCGCCCUUCAGUGCCGCAGCUAACGCAUUAAGUAUUCCGCCUGGGGGAGUACGACCGCAAGGUUGAAACUCAAAGGAAUUGACGGGGGCCCGCACAAGUGGGUGGAGCAUGUGGUUUAAUUCGAUGCUACGCGAAGAACCUUACCAGCUCUUGACAUCUUCUGCCAACCCAAGAGAUUGGGCGUUCCCUUCGGGGACAGAAUGACAGGUGGUGCAUGGUUGUCGUCAGCUCGUGUCGUGAGAUGUUGGGUUAAGUCCCGCAACGAGCGCAACCCUUAUUAUUAGUUGCCAGCAUUUAGUUGGGCACUCUAGUGAGACUGCCGGUGAUAAACCGGAGGAAGGUGGGGACGACGUCAAAUCAUCAUGCCCCUUAUGAGCUGGGCUACACACGUGCUACAAUGGAUGGUACAACGAGUCGCGAAACCGCGAGGUCAAGCUAAUCUCUUAAAGCCAUUCUCAGUUCGGAUUGCAGGCUGCAACUCGCCUGCAUGAAGUUGGAAUCACUAGUAAUCGUGGAUCAGCAUGCCACGGUGAAUACGUUCCCGGGCCUUGUACACACCGCCCGUCACACCAUGAGAGUUUGUAACACCCAAAGACGAUGGGG
rnacentral:rRNA from 1 species